rnacentral:sRNA from 1 species
GAGGAUGAGAACCUCCGGGGGCAGGGAGGUUCGACUCGAGCGAAGCGAGAGAACGUUGCGCCAGCAACGGCCCGCAGGGCGAGCCACGAAGUGGCGAGUAAUCCUC